AGGCCGGAUAAUGUUCCUGAAGGUGCUUAUGUUGAAUAGGUGAUUGAGCUUCUUGGUUUUGAAAUGCAAAAGGAUUGGACUGGUAUGGAUUUUAGAGCUAUUAUGAAUGAUGUUGAGAACACGAAAAGCACGGGUAACAGACUAUUCAAAGAAGGAAAAUUUGCUCUUGCCAAAGCCAAGUAUGAU